rnacentral:rRNA from 1 species
UACAGAGGGUGCAAGCGUUAAUCGGAAUUACUGGGCGUAAAGCGAGCGUAGUCGGUUAUUUAAGUCGGAUGUGAAAUCCCCGGGCUCAACCUGGGAAUUGCAUUCGAUACUGGAUAGCUAGAGUUCGGCAGAGGGAAGCGGAAUUUCGGGUGUAGCGGUGAAAUGCGUAGAUAUCCGAAGGAACAUCAGUGGCGAAAGCGGCUUCCUGACCAGAACUGACGAUCAGGCUCGAAAGCGUGGGGAGCAAACAGGGA